rfam:Nomascus leucogenys chromosome 7b, whole genome shotgun sequence.
AUCCUUUUGUGGUUCAUAAAGAACCAAGAUGACUGGGUUUCAUGCUAAUGCAUGACAUGUGCCUCCCUCAAUCAUGUUGCCUCAUGGCACAUUACCGUCUGAGG